rnacentral:tRNA from 1 species
GGAGGUAUGACUUGGUGCUAGAGUGCUUGUCUAGUGUGCAGGAGGACCUGGGCUCAAUCCCCAGCAACUCCC